UAGGGAAUCUUCGGCAAUGGACGAAAGUCUGACCGAGCAACGCCGCGUGAGUGAAGAAGGUUUUCGGAUUGUAAAACUCUGUUGUUAGAGAAGAACAAGGACGUUAGUAACUGAACGUCCCCUGACGGUAUCUAACCAGAAAGCCACGGCUAACUACGUGCCAGCAGCCGCGGUAAUACGUAGGUGGCAAGCGUUGUCCGGAUUUAUUGGGCGUAAAGCGAGCGCAGGCGGUUUCUUAAGUCUGAUGUGAAAGCCCCCGGCUCAACCGGGGAGGGUCAUUGGAAACUGGGCGACUUGAGUGCAGAAGAGGAGAGUAGAAUUCCAUGUGUAGCGGUGAAAUGCGUAGAUAUAUGGAGAAACACCAGUGGAGAAGGCGGCUCUCUGGUCUGUAACUGACGCUGAGGCUCGAAAGCGUGGGGAGCAAACAGG
rnacentral:rRNA from 1 species